GACGAACGCUGGCGGCAGGCUUAACACAUGCAAGUCGAGCGCCGUAGCAAUACGGAGCGGCAGACGGGUGAGUAACGCGUGGGAACGUGCCUUUUGGUUCGGAACAACUCAGGGAAACUUGAGCUAAUACCGGAUAAGCCCCGAGGGGGAAAGAUUUAACGCCAAAAGAUCGGCCCGCGUCAGAUUAGGUAGUUGGAGGGGUAACGGCCCACCAAGCCGAUGAUCUGUAGCUGGUCUGAGAGGACGAUCAGCCACACUGGGACUGAGACACGGCCCAGACUCCUACGGGAGGCAGCAGUGGGGAAUAUUGGACAAUGGGCGCAAGCCUGAUCCGGCCAUGCCGCGUGGAUGAAGAAGGCCCUAGGGUUGUAAAGUCCUUUCGGCGGGGACGAUAAUGACGGUACCCGCAGAAGAAGCCCCGGCUAAUUUCGUGCCAGCAGCCGCAGUAA
rnacentral:rRNA from 1 species